rnacentral:rRNA from 1 species
UGGGGAAUAUUGGACAAUGGGGGCAACCCUGAUCCAGCAAUGCCGCGUGCAGGAAGAAGGCCCUAUGGGUCGUAAACUGCUUUUGAACAAGAGAAAACCCCGGUACGUGUACUGGGUUGAUAGUAUUGUUAGAAUAAGCAUCGGCUAACUUCGUGCCAGCAGCCGCGGUAAGACGAAGGAUGCAAGCGUUAUCCGGAUUCAUUGGGUUUAAAGGGUGCGUAGGCGGACUGAUAAGUCAGUGGUGAAAUCUCUCGGCUUAACCGAGAAACUGCCAUUGAUACUGUUAGUCUAGAGUACAGAUGAUGUGGGCGGAAUAUGACAUGUAGUGGUGAAAUACUUAGAUAUGUCAUAGAACACUGAUUGCGAAGGCAGCUCACAGAACUGUAACUGACGCUGAGGCACGAAAGUGCGGGGAUCAAACAGGAUUAGAUACCCAAGUAGUCCCUGAGCGGGCUGGCAAGGCGCAU